rnacentral:rRNA from 1 species
AUUGAACGCUGGCGGCAUGCCUUACACAUGCAAGUCGAACGGUAACAGGGAGCUUGCUCCACUGACGAGUGGCGAACGGGUGAGUAAUGUAUCGGAACGUACCAUUCAGUGGGGGAUAACGUAGCGAAAGUUACGCUAAUACCGCAUAUUCUGUGAGCAGGAAAGCAGGGGAUCGCAAGACCUUGCGCUGAUUGAGCGGCCGAUAUCAGAUUAGCUAGUUGGUGAGGUAAAGGCUCACCAAGGCGACGAUCUGUAGCGGGUCUGAGAGGAUGAUCCGCCACACUGGAACUGAGACACGGUCCAGACUCCUACGGGAGGCAGCAGUGGGGAAUUUUGGACAAUGGGGGCAACCCUGAUCCAGCCAUGCCGCGUGAGUGAAGAAGGCCUCGGUUGUAAGCUCUUUCGGUCCGGGAAAAAGUACGACAUCAGUUAAUACCUGGUGUGGAUGAUGGUACCGGAAGUAAGAAGACACCGGCUAACUACGUGCC